GAUGAAGAACGUAGCGAAAUGCGAUACGUAAUGUGAAUUGCAGAAUUCAGUGAGUCAUCGAAUCUUUGAACGCAUAUUGCGCUCUUUGGUAUUCCGAAGAGCAUGCUUGUUUGAGUAUCAGUAAACACCUCAAAGCUUUUGGAUUUUUUAAUCGAAAAGCUUUGGACUUGAGCAAUCCCAACACCAAUCUUUUUGAGAUCGGUGGCGGGUUGCUUGAAAUGCAGGUGCAGCUGGACAUUCUCCUGAGCUAAAAGCAUAUUCAUUUAGUCCCGUCAAACGGAUUAUUACUUUUGCUGCAGCUAACAUAAAGGGAGUUUGACCGUAUUGGCUGACUGAUGCAGGAUUUCACAAGGGUCGGCAACGAUUCUUGUUAAACUCGAUCUCAAAUCAAGUAAGACUACCCGCUGAACUUAAGCAUAUCAAUAAGCGGAGGA
rnacentral:misc_RNA from 1 species